GGCUCCCACCACAGUCCUGUCCUUGAGGCUGAGGUAGUAGAUUGAAUAGUUGUGGGGUCACGGCCUCCCUGUGUGCUAACUAUACAAUCUACUGUCUUUCCUGAGGCGACAGUCAGUUCGCC